GGAUGUGGGUGAGUUCAUUUGCUCGCGUGCGGGGGAAGUCUGGAGAAGACAUUGUUUCAAUUAUUAAAAGUGUGGGGGCAGUGGGCGGAACAAACGCGCAGACUACAGAGGCUGGACGUAAGCUUAGCGGUGGCGCGCGUGCGCAGCGCCUGCCCGAGUUGCCAAAACAAAGGGGAUUUGGUGAUGGAGGCUUUGUUAGAAGGAAUACAAAAUCGAGGCCAUGGUGGGUAAGUUU
rnacentral:sRNA from 1 species